rnacentral:lncRNA from 1 species
GGAUCUUUCUCGAGUCAACUAGGCUUUUGCAUGUUUUUAGAGGACGAUAAAAGAAACUUUCUUUGGAAUUCUUACUGUACUGUAGUAUGAACUCCGGAACACUAUUCAAAUAGUUCCACUUAAACCUCGAGAUAAAGUCGAUCAAUCAAGAUGGCGGAGCCUGAAAAUUCAGAAAGAAACCUGAUGUAAAGUAUUCUCAAAGGUCAAGCUCAGUGGGGUAUCUUUCUUCAAUUUCAGCUGAAGUAAGUGACAAGUAAUUUUCUAUAGUGUGUGUUUGUUAUAAUAAGCC